rnacentral:rRNA from 1 species
UGGGGAAUAUUGCACAAUGGGCGCAAGCCUGAUGCAGCCAUGCCGCGUGUAUGAAGAAGGCCUUCGGGUUGUAAAGUACUUUCAGCGAGGAGGAAGGCGUUGUGGUUAAUGACCGCAGCGAUUGACGUUACUCGCAGAAGAAGCACCGGCUAACUCCGUGCCAGCAGCCGCGGUAAUACGGAGGGUGCAAGCGUUAAUCGGAAUUACUGGGCGUAAAGCGCACGCAGGCGGUCUGUCAAGUCGGAUGUGAAAUCCCCGGGCUCAACCUGGGAACUGCAUCCGAAACUGGCAGGCUAGAGUCUUGUAGAGGGGGGUAGAAUUCCAGGUGUAGCGGUGAAAUGCGUAGAGAUCUGGAGGAAUACCGGUGGCGAAGGCGGCCCCCUGGACAAAGACUGACGCUCAGGUGCGAAAGCGUGGGGAGCAAACA